rnacentral:rRNA from 1 species
CGCUAGCUACAGGCUUAACACAUGCAAGUCGAGGGGCAGCAUGGUCUUAGCUUGCUAAGGCCGAUGGCGACCGGCGCACGGGUGAGUAACACGUAUCCAACCUGCCGUCUACUCUUGGACAGCCUUCUGAAAGGAAGAUUAAUACAAGAUGGCAUCAUGAGUCCGCAUGUUCACAUGAUUAAAGGUAUUCCGGUAGACGAUGGGGAUGCGUUCCAUUAGAUAGUAGGCGGGGUAACGGCCCACCUAGUCUUCGAUGGAUAGGGGUUCUGAGAGGAAGGUCCCCCACAUUGGAACUGAGACACGGUCCAAACUCCUACGGGAGGCAGCAGUGAGGAAUAUUGGUCAAUGGGCGAGAGCCUGAACCAGCCAAGUAGCGUGAAGGAUGACUGCCCUAUGGGUUGUAAACUUCUUUUAUAAAGGAAUAAAGUCGGGUAUGGAUACCCGUUUGCAUGUACUUUAUGAAUAAGGAUCGGCUAACUCCGUGCCAGCAGCCGCGGUAAUACGGAGGAUCCGAGCGUUAUCCGGAUUUAUUGGGUUUAAAGGGAGCGUAGAUGGAUGUUUAAGUCAGUUGUGAAAGUUUGCGGCUCAACCGUAAAAUUGCAGUUGAUACUGGAUAUCUUGAGUGCAGUUGAGGCAGGCGGAAUUCGUGGUGUAGCGGUGAAAUGCUUAGAUAUCACGAAGAACUCCGAUUGCGAAGGCAGCCUGCUAAGCUGCAACUGACAUUGAGGCUCGAAAGUGUGGGUAUCAAACAGGAUUAGAUACCCUGGUAGUCCACACGGUAAACGAUGAAUACUCGCUGUUUGCGAUAUACAGCAAGCGGCCAAGCGAAAGCGUUAAGUAUUCCACCUGGGGAGUACGCCGGCAACGGUGAAACUCAAAGGAAUUGACGGGGGCCCGCACAAGCGGAGGAACAUGUGGUUUAAUUCGAUGAUACGCGAGGAACCUUACCCGGGCUUAAAUUGCAGAUGAAUUACGGUGAAAGCCGUAAGCCGCAAGGCAUCUGUGAAGGUGCUGCAUGGUUGUCGUCAGCUCGUGCCGUGAGGUGUCGGCUUAAGUGCCAUAACGAGCGCAACCCUUGUUGUCAGUUACUAACAGGUUCUGCUGAGGACUCUGACAAGACUGCCAUCGUAAGAUGUGAGGAAGGUGGGGAUGACGUCAAAUCAGCACGGCCCUUACGUCCGGGGCUACACACGUGUUACAAUGGGGGGUACAGAGGGCCGCUACCACGCGAGUGGAUGCCAAUCCCCAAAACCUCUCUCAGUUCGGACUGGAGUCUGCAACCCGACUCCACGAAGCUGGAUUCGCUAGUAAUCGCGCAUCAGCCACGGCGCGGUGAAUACGUUCCCGGGCCUUGUACACACCGCCCGUCAAGCCAUGGGAGCCGGGGGUACCUGAAGUGCGUAACCGCGAGGAGCGCCCUAGGGUAAAACUGGUGACUGGG